UGGGGAAUAUUGCACAAUGGGCGCAAGCCUGAUGCAGCCAUGCCGCGUGUAUGAAGAAGGCCUUCGGGUUGUAAAGUACUUUCAGCGAGGAGGAAGGCGUUGUGGUUAAUAACCGCAACGAUUGACGUUACUCGCAGAAGAAGCACCGGCUAACUCCGUGCCAGCAGCCGCGGUAAUACGGAGGGUGCAAGCGUUAAUCGGAAUUACUGGGCGUAAAGCGCACGCAGGCGGUCUGUCAAGUCGGAUGUGAAAUCCCCGGGCUCAACCUGGGAACUGCAUCCGAAACUGGCAGGCUAGAGUCUUGUAGAGGGGGGUAGAAUUCCAGGCGUAGCGGUGAAAUGCGUAGAGAUCUGGAGGAAUACCGGUGGCGAAGGCGGCCCCCUGGACAAAGACUGACGCUCAGGUGCGAAAGCGUGGGGAGCAAACA
rnacentral:rRNA from 1 species